CUUAAUAUAAAUAUUUUAAUAACUGAGAAAUAACUCAUUUGAAUAUUCAACUGCGUAUGAAAAAAAAAAAUAAUAAAAUAAUUAUCCACUAAAUAAAUUUAUCACCACGGAUAAUAACUUUUAAAGGCUGUCCGUAGUUUACUCAACUGUUUACUAUCCACGGAAUUAAAAAUAAUAACUACAUACCUACCUUUAGUAUUUUGUUUACUUUUGGACAAAGCUUUAAUCACGUAUGAGGUUUCUUUUCAAUUAAUAAUUUCAGAAUGUCAAAAACUUAAUUUAUGUUUUAAUCCUAAAACUUUUUUCUGAUUUUGAAAAGGCAAUUCAUGUUGCCGUAAAUUAAGUUUGGCCAUCAACACGACUUAGGCGUUGUCGAUUUCAUUUGGGACAAGCAUGGUUUAGAAAAAUCCAAUCAUUGGGUCUAGUUGAUGACUAUAAAAAUAAAAACUACGAAAUUGGAAAGUGGACGGUGGAAAAAUACGGUAUAUCAUUUUCAGAGAAAAAUGGACUCGCCCUAAUGUUUAUGGCACCCAAAUUUGUUUUUACAGGUUUCGGAGUGGUGGGCUGAACAUGUUAUCCAUUCGGUAUUCACCUCUCAAGAUUCGCCCAAACAACACUCCGACGUCUGGUCCUAUAAACGGUGGACGUGCAGCUGCCAUCUCAUAUAGCAUGAUGCCCAGGCUCCAGUAAUC